rnacentral:tRNA from 2 species
GCCGACGUAGCUCAAUAGGCAGAGCAGCUGAUUCGUAAUUAGCAGGUUGUCGGUUCGAGUCCGACCGUCGGCUCCA